GACGAACGCUGGCGGCGUGCUUAACACAUGCAAGUCGAACGGAAAGGCCCUGCUUUUGUGGGGUGCUCGAGUGGCGAACGGGUGAGUAACACGUGAGUAACCUGCCCUUGACUUUGGGAUAACUUCAGGAAACUGGGGCUAAUACCGGAUAGGAGCUCCUGCUGCAUGGUGGGGGUUGGAAAGUUUCGGCGGUUGGGGAUGGACUGGCGGCUUAUCAGCUUGUUGGUGGGGUAGUGGCUUACCAAGGCUUUGACGGGUAGCCGGCCUGAGAGGGUGACCGGCCACAUUGGGACUGAGAUACGGACCAGACUCCUACGGGAGGCAGCAGGGGGGAAUAUUGCACAAUGGGCGGAAGCCUGAGGCAGCAACGCCGCGUGCGGGAUGACGGCCUUCGGGUUGUAAACCGCUUUCGCCUGUGACGAAGCGUGAGUGACGGUAAUGGGUAAAGAAGCACCGGCUAACUACGUG
rnacentral:rRNA from 1 species